rnacentral:rRNA from 1 species
GAUGAACGCUAGCGGCAGGCUUAACACAUGCAAGUCGAGGGGUAGAGGAAGCUUGCUUCCUUGAGACCGGCGCACGGGUGCGUAACGCGUAUACAAUCUACCUUUUACAGAGGGAUAGCCCCAGAGAAAUUUGGAUUAAUACCUCAUAGUAUUUUCGGAUCGCAUGAUUUGAUUAUUAAAGUUCCAACGGUAAAAGAUGAGUAUGCGUCCAUUAGCUAGAUGGUAAGGUAACGGCUUACCAUGGCAAUGAUGGGUAGGGGUCCUGAGAGGGAGAUCCCCCACACUGGUACUGAGACACGGACCAGACUCCUACGGGAGGCAGCA